rnacentral:rRNA from 1 species
AACGAACGCUGGCGGCAUGCCUAACACAUGCAAGUCGAACGAGACCUUCGGGUCUAGUGGCGCACGGGUGCGUAACGCGUGGGAACCUGCCCUUAGGUUCGGAAUAACUCCCCGAAAGGGGUGCUAAUACCGGAUAAUGUCUUCGGACCAAAGAUUUAUCGCCUUUGGAUGGGCCCGCGUUGGAUUAGCUAGUUGGUAGGGUAAAAGCCUACCAAGGCGACGAUCCAUAGCUGGUCUGAGAGGAUGAUCAGCCACACUGGGACUGAGACACGGCCCAGACUCCUACGGGAGGCAGCAGUGGGGAAUAAUGGACAGUGGGCGAAAGCCUGAUCCAGCAAUGCCGCGUGAGUGAUGAAGGCCUUAGGGUUGUAAAGCUCUUUUACCCGGGAUGAUAAUGACAGUACCGGGAGAAUAAGCUCCGGCUAACUCCGU